UACAGAGGGUGCAAACGUUGCUCGGAAUUAUUGGGCGUAAAGCGCACGUAGGCGGUUCGUUAAGUCAGAUGUGAAAGCCCUGGGCUCAACUCAGGAAGUGCAUUUGAAACUGGCGAGCUUGAAUAUGGAAGAGGGUCGCGGAAUUCCCGGUGUAGAGGUGAAAUUCGUAGAUAUCGGGAGGAACACCAGUGGCGAAGGCGGCGACCUGGGCCAAUAUUGACGCUGAGGUGCGAAAGCGUGGGGAGCGAACAGG
rnacentral:rRNA from 1 species